GUUUAGGUUUACAACAAUCUGUGUUUGAGUAUCACCUUGUGAUCUAUGAACAGUUUUUGCUGAUGCCGGUCGCAAAGGAAACUGUUUUCUAACAACUUGAGCAGAUUUCGUUCUACCAACUGGAAAUUGGGUUGUGACAGGUUUAAUUGGUGUCCAUGUGCUUUGAAUUCCUCUAACAUAAAGCGUUCUGUUUUCGUGACGAGUUUUUCUACCAACGUCUUCAUAAUCAAAUUGGACCCAGAUAAGACCCGAAGGUUUAUUCUCAUCAGUGAGCUGUAUCAACUUUAUAAUGUUACUCGCCCCAUUUGUAAGACCAUCAUCAGUUCGCACAUUUGUUGCAACUUCUGUACGUUGCCCAACAGCAAGUUUUAGCUUGUGAGCUAACUGUUUAGAAUUUCUUAACGGAACAUAAGGUAUUUGCCUCAUUAUUUUUUCCUUAAGUUCAGCUGAAGCUGCUCCAAUAACACUAUCUUGAGCUUUAAUUGUAUAUCUAUUAUGAGUAAAUGAUUCAUAUACUUGUUCAUUAUAUUUGUCUACUAAAGCAUUUUGAAUAAACAAGCGUGGAGCUUCUUGAGGACAAUUCGAUUCCUGAACACAUCUUUCCUUCAGCUUUUGAAGAUCAGUAGUUGUAUGUUUACCUUCUCGUAACCUGUUUAAGAUUUCAGCAAACAUUUUACUUUCUCUUUGUCGCAUGAUCUCAUCAAGUUCAAACAUUCUAAAAUAUUUUUUCCAUAAAUUUGGAGCAAGAACACUAUAAUAGUUUAAAGACUGGAGAUCAGUGAAAAUGUAGCCAUCCAUGACAGGUUUAAGUUGAAAUAAGUCACCGAUUGUGAUGAUGCUAACGCCACCAAAGUCGUCUUUGCUUCCUUUUAAAUCUUUUAAACGGUUAUUUAACUGUAUUGUAAACAUGCUGUUUCCAACCAUUGAUAUUUCAUCCAGUAAUAUCAAUUUUAAUGCACCCAGCUCACAUCGUAAAGUGUUCAACCUACCAGAGUCCAGUGGCUUAUAAAUUUUAAGCGAUUGGCUUGCUGGAAUUGAUAAGGCACUAUGGAUUGUGUUUCCUUUAAUUAGAUAAGCUGCUUUUCCUGUUGGAGCAAGCAAUAAUACUUGAACGCGACGAAAGUCUUCGCCAGCUCGUUUGUUAUAGUGCUUUAAAGCAGCCUGAUAAAUUGACUUAAUCAAGUGAGAUUUACCAACCCCUCCACUUCCACUUAAAAAGGCAUAAAAUGGAUUAUCAGAUAUCUUCAUUAAAUGUAAAGCAUGAUAAAAAAAUUCCCUUUGUUUCUUGUUUAGCAUUUGGACCAAACGUCGGUAUUCAUCAUCUUCCAUUUCAUUUAAAAUGAGUGGUUCAUUAUUAGGUAACCUUGAUGGGAUACCCAAGUCUUCAGAGACAUCAUAUGUUUCAUUUAAAUCUGGAUGUGUAUCUGUAUUACCUUCGUUUUCAUCCCGACGUUCAGUGUCUUGUGUAACUGGUGCUAUUGUGUCAUACGCAUCAUCAUCACAUUCUUGUAAGUGAUGUUGAAUUUCAUUUAAAUCUUCACUACAAACCGCAUAUUCUUGCAUUUGUUCACUGAUUUCAUCACGACGAGCUUCGUAAUGUUCUUCAAAGGAAGAGUAAGCUCCCUUUAAAUCGACCUGUUCAUUUCGCCAUGGAGUGAAAAGCAUGAUCAACUCACGAUAAUGUUUUUCUGGUUGAGAUUCUUUGUUAAACCAAACACUGCGGAUAAUUCUUGCUUGUGAUCUUUUUUUGAUAGACUUUUUAGAUGAAACACAACUUUCAGUGUUUUGAACACCUAGGUCAUCAUCAUUAUUUUCAUCUUCAUCUUCCAAAGGAAGGUUGUCAAUAUCUGAUUUUUUAACAGAUUUCUUAUACUUGUUCAGCCCAGAUGAGUCGUACCAAGCUGCCCAGUCAGCUAAUGUUAUAUUUUUUAAACUGUCUGGUCGUUCUACAUAUCGUUUCAGAAGUCCACCAGAGUGAAUUUCUUCAGACUCGUCUGACAUCUUCUCAAUCUCACUGAGAGGUUUCAAUAGUUCAACACGAUCACUUGGAGGAGAUGUGUUAAUGAAUACAACAUUUCGAGAAGAUUUUCUCAUGGGAAGUUGCAGAAUGAGGUACACUGCUUCUUGUGCACUUAUUUCAACAGAGUUUAAAAACUUGUUGCCAAUGUCACGAACCUGUUGUUUGAUGGUGGAAUUACCUUCCUUAGCUUCAGCACAUGCGUUACGUAACAAGUCACUCAUUCCUUUUUGAGCCUUCGAAAUAUAGGAAACAAUGUACAUUGCACAGGCAUAUACAUCCAGCACAAAUUGAAUGUCCAUGUUCGCUCUCCAUGCUUGGAGGCAAGCAGGAUUAUAAUUAUUAAUCCUUAAUUCAUUGGGACUUCUUUUUAGAAAUAUUGUUGGACAAUUUAGUGAUGACCGAAUUGCAAGAAUAUAUUGAUAUUCUGAAACAUCUAGUUCUUUUAGAAGGUGAUCAAAUGUUACGUCUUCUCCGUCUUUUAAAUCAUUUAGUUUAUUCUUAAUAUUUUUCCACAACUCUUUUCUGGCUCUUAUGACAGUUUCAGAAGCAUUGUCAUCAAGUGGAUAAAGUAUCUGUGUUGAUCUCAUGGGUGGCUGAGGAUAAUUGAAUCUACAAACUUUUUUGGAGUUUUUUCGGCAUGUGUGAGAAUGUCUAUGAGUUUGUCUGUUUACAAGAUCAAAUAAUUCAGUGUCAUUAUCAGGCUUUCUACAAGUUAUUAUUUGGUCAAUGAAAUUUACUACAUCUUCAUCUUUAUCAACACCAAAUACAGGUGCAUUUUCAAGCCAUAUGAGCAUAUGGAUGUGAGGCGAGCCUCUCUGUUGGUAUUCAACCCUGUAAAACCAAUCUUUCAGUUUCCCUAAUGGGGCAAUUUCACUCAUUAAAAAAUCUUUUAAGAAAGUAUUAAAUUGGUAAUCAAAAUGCCUUGCACAAGUUACUGGGUCACUUUGAAUUAGUCUACACUUUUCAUCCCAAUUUAAAUUAUCUAAUUGUUCAUCACUAUAGUCUUUGUGAUCAACAAGCUUACCAAGGAUUCUUAGUAAAUGAUUCCAUUUUGUUUCAGCAGAUGAAAAACUACAAAAUAAUGAUGCAGGUCCUAACUGCCGAAUCAUAGCAAACAAAUCCUUUUUUGCUUUUUCAAAGUAAGGUGGGGAACCUCUCAAAGCUGUUAAAAAUUUGUAUCCUUCAUCAUGGCAAAUGAGAUUUGUUAAACCUUCUGGCGUUUUCAAAUCACCAGCAGUAAGUGUUCUGUUUCCCAUUUUACACUUGCGAAUAGCAAGCUGCGAUUGCCCCAGCAAUAAUUUCAUCUGCAUUUUCUUAGUUUUAAAAAAUAUGUUCUCAAUACACAUUGCAGCUCUUCGAUCAGACCGUCUAAGUUCUGAUUUACAUAUUUCACUGUAAUAAACACGGGUCAAUCUUUGCUUCUCAUCAGGCCGCUUUUGACCUAAGAAUAUUCCUGGAUAAGCUAGUUCCUCUGAAUACUGAUCUCUAAAUAUACUGAGUGGUCUACUACCUUCACCAGGUGCCACAUUGUAUAUAUGCUGUCUUUCAGUAUCAUCUACAAAAUCAGUAGGUGUAAGCAUACUGUCUGUUACACCUGCAGGAAUUUCUGCUUCAUCUUCACUCCAUUCAUCUUCUGAAGAUGCUGAAUUAGUUUGAUCAACUGUAGUAUUUUCAUUGACACUAUUAUUAGGUGUUGGAACAUCAAAGUAUGAUAACCAAUGCUGAUCAAAAGUUAUUCCUUGUUCUCGAUAUAGUUCACUAGUAUUUACCAACCAAGCUGCAGCUUGCAUCACUUUAUUAGGCCUCACAUUCAAAGACAAGGCAGAACUCUUAUAUUGCAGUCGACGUUUUAAUUGAACUUUAAUAGUCCCAGUAUCUUGUGGCAACCUGGGUAGCAUGUUAACGGUAUUACAUAUGUCUGCUGGUACAUUCACAACAUUACCAGUAAUUUUAAGUUGCCGUCCUCUCGGAGCUUGCAUUAUUUUUUGAAAUGCCAAUCUUGGAGCUAUAAGUCUGCAUUCUAAUUCAUUCAAAUCAAAGAAGUCAGGUUUUUCUGGAAACUUCAAGCCAUUUGAAACUGCAGAUGGUGGCACUUUCUCCUUUUUAAGAUGUUUGUCACAUGUCAAACACAGCCAUUCAAUAUUAUCCACACUUUUAAUGCCCUGUAGAUGUUUAGUAGAAUUUGGAUUGGACAAUCGAAGUCUCUCAGCAGGACAAACACUGUGCUUAUACCAUAAUUGAUCACAGCAUGAACAUAUAUACAGAGGACCUGUUGAUACAGAUUUAUGGAAUUUAUGUAU